CCUACGGGAGGCAGCAGUAGGGAAUAUUGCUCAAUGGGGGAAACCCUGAAGCAGCAACGCCGCGUGGAGGAUGAAGGUUUUCGGAUUGUAAACUCCUUUUGUUAGAGAAGAUAAUUACGGUAUCUAACGAAUAAGCACCGGCUAACUCCGUGCCAGCAGCCGCGGUCAUACGGAGGGUGCAAGCGUUACUCGGAAUCACUGGGCGUAAAGAGCGCGUAGGCGGGAUAGCAAGUCAGAUGUGAAAUCCUAUGGCUUAACCAUAGAACUGCAUUUGAAACUGUUAGUCUAGAGUAUGGGAGAGGUAGGUGGAAUUCUUGGUGUAGGGGUAAAAUCCGUAGAGAUCAAGAGGAAUACUCAUUGCGAAGGCGACCUGCUAGAACAUAACUGACGCUGAUGCGCGAAAGCGUGGGGAGCAAACAGGAUUAGAUACCCUAGUAGUC
rnacentral:rRNA from 1 species